rnacentral:rRNA from 1 species
AGUCGAGUGGCGUAAGGGGCAGUAAGGCGUGGGCAACCUGCCCCCAGGACCGGCACAGCCCCGGGAAACCGGGGGUAAUUCCGGACGACGUGACGGGGACGCCUGUUCCUGGCACCAAAGGCCGCAAGGCGCCUGGGGAGGGGCUCACGUGGUAUUAGCUAGACGGCGGGGUGACGGCCCACCGUGGCUUAGAUGCCUAGCGGGUGUGAGAGCACGACCCGCGCCACUGGCACUGAGACACUGGCCAGACUCCUACGGGAGGCUGCAGUCGAGGAUCUUCGGCAAUGGGCGCAAGCCUGACCGAGCGACGCCGCGUGGAGGAUGAAGGCCUUCGGGUUGUAAACUCCUGUCGAGGGGGAGGAAGGCCCCGCAAGGGGCUUGACCUAGCCCUGGAGGAAGCACGGGCUAAGUUCGUGCCAGCAGCCGCGGUAAGACGAACCGUGCGAACGUUGUUCGGAAUCACUGGGCUUAAAGGGCGCGUAGGCGGCACGGCACGUCUCGGGUGAAAUCGUUCGGCUUAACCGGACCAGGGCCCGGGAUACGGCCGUGCUCGAGGGGGCAAGGGGCGGACGGAACUUCCGGUGGAGCGGUGAAAUGCGUUGAUAUCGGAAGGAACGCCGGUGGCGAAAGCGGUCCGCUGGGUCCCACCUGACGCUGAGGCGCGAAAGCCAGGGGAGCGAACGGGAUUAGAUACCCCGGUAGUCCUGGCCCUAAACGAUGGGCACUGGGUAGCGAGCCUUCGGGGCCCGCUGCCGCAGCUAAAGUGGUAAGUGCCCCGCCUGGGGAGUAUGGUCGCAAGGCUGAAACUCAAAGGAAUUGACGGGGGCUCACACAAGCGGUGGAGCAUGUGGCUUAUUUCGAGGCUACGCGAAGAUC